rnacentral:lncRNA from 1 species
GCCGACUGGCGGCGCGGUCGCCCGGGAGACCGGGAAAGCCGUUUCACACCCGUCCUAGUCGAAGUCGAGAUUUCCUUUGGCUUCAAAGCUCUCUCACCAUAUUUUGGGAAGUUAUGGAUCAUCACAUUCCCAUGCAUGCGUUGCCUGAAGAAAUCCAAAAGGUAUGAUAUAUUGUGUUGCUACAGCCUAACAGUGGGAACAUGUAGCAGUUACAUAAUUCUAAAACCUAGAGGAGUGAAUUCAUUAAUUUUGGUCAUAGGAUCUGAAUGAAUUGGUGGAGUGGGAGAGGGAAUAAUUAUUAUCAUAAUGAGCAGAAUUGUAGAAUUCAAUUCAGUAUGAAGAAUUUUGCUGCUAUGGAAGAAGACAUAUAUCUAAUUCCAGUACAGUAUUUGACCAGGUGGUUGUGGAGCCCUAGUGAAAAGCAGGCAUCAGAAACGUCCAUGUGUGUUUUAAUGGGGCUGGAUUUCUAAGCCUCUAUUAUGGUUUGACCAACAUUAAUUCUCAGUACUUACUGUGUGCCAAGCACUGUUUUAAGCCCCUUUUAUGCAGAUGACCCUUGAACAACAUGGAACUAAAUUGUGUAGGUCCACUUAUAUGUGGGUUUUUAAAAUAAAUAUAUUGGAAAAUGUUUUGAAGAUUUGGAAUGGUUUGAAAAAACUCACAGGCGAACCAAG